rnacentral:rRNA from 1 species
GAUGAACGCUGGCGGCGUGCUUAACACAUGCAAGUCGAACGAUGAAGCCCAGCUUGCUGGGUGGAUUAGUGGCGAACGGGUGAGUAACACGUGAGUAACCUGCCCUUGACUCUGGGAUAAGCCUGGGAAACUGGGUCUAAUACUGGAUAUGACUUCUCAUCGCAUGGUGGGGGGUGGAAAGAUUUAUUGGUCUUGGAUGGACUCGCGGCCUAUCAGCUUGUUGGUGAGGUAAUGGCUCACCAAGGCGACGACGGGUAGCCGGCCUGAGAGGGUGACCGGCCACACUGGGACUGAGACACGGCCCAGUCUCCUACGGGAGGCAGCAGUGGGGAAUAUUGCACAAUGGGCGCAAGCCUGAUGCAGCGACGCCGCGUGAGGGAUGACGGCCUUCGGGUUGUAAACCUCUUUCAGUAGGGAAGAAGCGAGAGUGACGGUACCUGCAGAAGAAGCGCCGGCUAACUACGUG